UACGUAGGGUGCAAGCGUUGUCCGGAAUUAUUGGGCGUAAAGAGCUCGUAGGCGGUUUGUCGCGUCUGGUGUGAAAAUCCAGGGCUUAACCCUGGACCUGCAUCGGGUACGGGCAGACUAGAGUGCGGUAGGGGAGAUCGGAAUUCCUGGUGUAGCGGUGAAAUGCGCAGAUAUCAGGAGAACACCGGUGGCGAAGGCGGCUCUCUGGGCCUUACCUGACGCUGAGGAGCGAAAGCGUGGGUAGCGAACAGG
rnacentral:rRNA from 1 species